CCUACGGGAGGCAGCAGUGGGGAAGGUUGCGCAAUGAGCGGAAGAGGGACGCAGCGACGCCGCGUGAAUGACGAAGGCCUUCGGGUAGGAAAGGUCUGUCGACAGGGAAGAAAAUGCCUAUAAGUAACUGUGUAUGUAUUGACGGUACCUGUAGAAGCAGCCCCGGCUAACUCCGUGCCAGCAGCCGCGGUAAUACGGAGGGGGCGAGCGUUGUUCGGAGUGACUGGGCGUAAAGAGCACGGAGGCGGUGUUGUAAGUCAUUAGUCAAAGACUAGGGCUCAACUUUAGUAAGGCUAGUGAUACUCUCAUACUAGAGUAUCAGAGAGGCUUGCCGAAUUCCUGGUGUAGCGGUGAAAUGCGUAGAUAUCAG
rnacentral:rRNA from 1 species